ACUGCUCAGUAACACGUGGAUAACCUGCCCUCAGGUCUGGCAUAACCCCGGGAAACUGGGGAUAAUUCCGGAUAACGCAUAUGUGCUGGAAUGCUUUAUGCGUCAAAGGUCCUCCGCCUGAGGAUGGGUCUGCGGCCUAUCAGGUAGUAGCGGGUGUAAUGUACCUGCUAGCCGACGACGGGUACGGGUUGUGAGAGCAAGAGCCCGGAGAUGGAUUCUGAGACAUGAAUCCAGGCCCUACGGGGCGCAGCAGGCGCGAAAACUUUACAAUGCGGGAAACCGUGAUAAGGGGACACCGAGUGCCAGCAACAUUUGCUGGCUGUCCACGUGCGUAAAAUGCACGUGUUAGCAAGGGCCGGGCAAGACCGGUGCCAGCCGCCGCGGUAACACCGGCGGCCCGAGUGGUGAUCGUUAUUAUUGGGUCUAAAGGGUCCGUAGCCGGUUUGGUCAGUCUUCCGGGAAAUCUGUCAGCUUAACUGAUAGGCUAUCGGGGGAUACUGCUAGACUUGGAACCGGGAGAGGUAAGAGGUACUACAGGGGUAGGAGUGAAAUCUUGUAAUCCCUGUGGGACCACCUGUGGCGAAGGCGUCUUACCAGAACGGGUUCGACGGUGAGGGACGAAAGCUGGGGGCACGAACCGGAUUAGAUACCCGGGUAGUCCCAGCCGUAAACGAUGCUCGCUAGGUGUCAUGCAUGGUGCGACCGUGUAUGGUGCCGUAGGGAAGCCGUGAAGCGAGCCACCUGGGAAGUACGGCCGCAAGGCUGAAACUUAAAGGAAUUGGCGGGGGAG
rnacentral:rRNA from 1 species